rnacentral:rRNA from 1 species
UACAGAGGGUGCAAGCGUUAAUCGGAGUUACUGGGCGUAAAGGGCGCGUAGGUGGUUGUUUAAGUGAGAUGUGAGAGCCCUGGGCUUAACCUAGGAACUGCAUCUUAUACUGGGCAACUGGAGUACUGUAGAGGGUAGUGGAAUUUCCGGUGUAGCGGUAAAUGCGUAGAGAUCGGAAGGAACACCAGUGGCGAAGGCGGCUACCUGGACAGAUACUGACACUGAGGCGCGAAAGCGUGGGGAGCAAACAGG